UCAAGUGGAAGAUUCUCUGGUGGCCCCUGC
rnacentral:piRNA from 2 species